ACAUUUCUAUUAUUUGUUUCCUCCGUAAGAACAGUUUUGUAAGUUAAAUUAAACAAGUUAAAAACUUUGAAGAGAUGUUUCUCCAAUGCCUUAGGAUUUCUUCUGAGCCAGGACUGAGUUUCUUUUCCAGUAUCCAUUCUUGGUGCGACACCACCCCACAUGAUUUACAAAGAACUGUACCUCAUGUGUCAACCAAGACAUCAGAUGACCCCAACAUGCCAGAUGCAAGCUAGCAUCACAGGAACUCUGCAUGUUCCCAUGAAGCUGUUCUGCAUUUUGAGAGUGUGAUAGUGUGUCUCCGAAGAGAGGCAAGGACGUGUCUGUCUUUUAGCUCCAAGCCUCCUGGAAAACAAGGCAUCUUUAAACUAAGCUAACCUAGCAGAUGACGGGUUAUCCCAGUCCCUCCUGGGAGAGGAUUUCAGUGGAAGAUGGCUGGAAGCAACUGCACGAGAAGAGCUUGAUAUAUUCUGAGUCGUGUCCCGCAGUGGAGGCAGGUUUCUGAGGCAAUCCUUUUUCUCCCUGAAUUAUAGAAGGCAUCGAUGCUGGGAGAGCAUUGCAGUCCCACUGCCGUUCUUCAAGAUCCUGCAAGGAAAACCUGAUCCAUGCUUUGCCCUUCUUGGGAUUCUCCGUGCCCCUUACAAGCACAGGAAGGUAAGAUGGGUCAUCUGCCCAGCACAGAGCUCUCCCAGUCCAGUGCUGUAUUGCCUCCCAGCCUAAGAGCAGGCAGUGGCACGGGGCUUGGCGGAAGAGGAAGGCAGCAACCUGGGACUGGGAGGGCACUUAGCAGCCAUGUGUGGCACACAAGCAGGAUUUCCCUAGAGGAAAAUUGCAGCAUUUUCUCCUAAUUAUAUGGAUUUUACUUGCCAGUCAAGUCUCUGAUAGCUGAGAGAAAUGCAAGACUGCUAUCUAAAACAGCACAGAGGUCCAAGGCAAAUGUUCUUCCCAGCUUGCAGGAGUGUUACAAGCUGUCAUUUAGCUCUCAGCCUGCUUGGAGAACUGAUGGCAAUGCUUGUGUUUUGAUUUCUGCUGGGGAAGAGCAGCCUGCCUAGCACUUAUCACUAGCCCAAGAGAGCGUUUCAGGACCGAGUGAUAGCAAGAAGCGCUUACCGAAUGUUCACAGUGCUGUGUUAGGGGGGAGGAGGCCCAGAAAAAAUAUUUCUGGUUUACCACCAGGGAUAAAUGCUGUAUUUUCCUGAUGAUUAUUAUUAAACAUCGUCAUUUCUGAGGUGUUAUGGGGUGCUUUGUGCCCAGGUUUCCAGCUGUACCCAUCCCUGGGGUCCCAUCCCACGUUGGGAGCAGUAGCUUGCCCAUGUGCACUUUUGUGACAUGCCUGUGGUGAGUUGUCUGCUCCUCUUUGCUGCUCAGAACGUGCUUCCUGCACACCUGGUAACAGCAUGAAGCCCUCACAGACUAGGGAAUUUCUGUGAGGUGACAAAUUUGCUGUGCUGACGUUCUGCCUGCCAGGACACAGUUGAUGUGAUGCUGGCUGGCUCUCCCUGGCUGUAUAUCCUGAAAUGCAAAGUCAGUAUGGCCCAGCCCCAAAAUGUAAGCCCUCAGCUUUAAUGCUGGUGGUACUAGCUUGCCAGCACAUGAGAUAGUGUGAAUUUAUGUUCUCUCUUUGCUGUGAGCACUCCAGUUUGUUUUGAAUUAACCUUUAAAUUAAUGUACAGAUAACUGGACACGUCAUGAAGUGUUCCUGCCUUAUCCACGUGAGAUAAUUUGGUGGUUUGGGAUCUAUUUGCCCUCUCCUGGGUAAAAGUUUUCCUCAGGAAGAAAUUCUAUACCAUCGGCUCUGUGCUGUGCUUUGCAGUCAGAUUUUUUUUUUUCUAUUUUUGUCACAUUCGUGACCAAAUGCUAUAUUUGGUUCUGACCCAGCUCUGUAUAACUUUUUGUAGCGGUGGAGCUGGAACCUACACAGCACACACUAGGCAAAGAAGGACAGACCUAUGGCCUUAAAAAUGCUGUAAUGGCACCACGAAAACUAACAUUGCUUGCAAAGACAGUGCAAGAGAAAAUGGCGAUAACCUUUUAUGACAAGGAAGCAGAGUGUGGCUUAUUGCUCUCAUAGCUUUAGCAAAUAGAUUCUUGCUUCCGCUGUUGCCAAAGCAUCCGUUGCCCUAAUGGCUGGGGGGGAAGGAUGUUUGCCUCUAUUGGGUGUGCAGCUGUGUGACUUUAUGCUCUGAGGAUGGAUGGAGUCUCAUAAAAUGAGUAAGAAAAAGGAGGGUUAAUGGGUGGUAAUUUUGCUACUCGUUUCUAUCCUGCAUUGUCAGACAAGUGAACAGGUAACAAAGAAGAGGUGUUCUGCCAGAGUCAGGGAGAUCCAAAAUCACAGAACUUUUCCAUGUUUGUGAGUGAUUAACACAAAAAUUAAUGAGGCUUCAAUGUAAUUAAGGGAUAGAAAUGGCUUAGCCCCAAGACUGUGAAGAUUCUAUAGAGCAGAACUGCUGAGAUGAUUUAGCAAAGGGUUAAAUAAUGUAACUAAUCCCUGUGCACAGCUGUGAAAUUGCUUCUGUCCAUUUAUUUAAAAUGAAAAGUCACAAAACAGGUGAGCGUACGGCUGUAGCUGUAACUUAGUUCACUCCUGCAUACUCCCUUUGUGUGCUCUCGUGCCAGAUCCCAUGGCCAACCAAAGGCCGUUUUGGCCAGCAGACACCAAGGCCACAUCAUGUCCCUCUGCAGCAGCAGCACCCUGUGAGCUCACUGUGUCUCACCCUGGGGAGCCCUGGCUCUGCAGUGCUGUGGCCUCUGCUGCCUGGAUGCUGUGAGUGGGAGCUGUGCUGUGUUCUCUUCCUUCUCCCACUUACAAUAUGUAGGCCCUGCCUCCUUCGCACUCCCAUCCCCUUACGCCAGGCCUGGCUCCUUGCAGCAGCUCUGAAGCAUGGGGAGGUGUUGGGUAAGUGAUCUUGCACGGUAAGCCCGCAGGUGACACGUAGCUGGGGCAGUGCUGCACCCCGAGCACCGCGCUGUGCCGGCUCCCAGGUGCCAAGGAAAGCAGAGCCUGGGCCACACUAAUAAAAACUCUUCCCUCAGUGCUCUUUGGCAAAGUGCAAAGAAAACCUUUUUUCAUCCUCAGUGACUAAAAAUAAAUCCUAUUUUGGGCUUAAAAAGGAGCUGCAUGACUAAAACGAGCCGUUUGGUUUCAUUCAUGUUUGCUGUCUAUUAAUCUGUUCUCUUCACCCUCAGCAGAGUAUGACUCAGACUUUCUCAUUGUCUUCCUCCCUCACUAUGUGUGUUUUGACUUUAAAUCCUGCCGGCUGACGCACGCAGAGCUGACACCACGACAGCUUGAUCCAGCCGGCUCCCAGCAGACUCCUGAUCUUCACCGGCUGCUGAACGUAACACCCUGCCUGCUCUGCUGGUAUUUUUACAGCUAAUGUUGGUAAGCAGAUGACACAGGCUGGUGAAGAUCCUUGAAACUCCACGGGAGGAAAUGCAUGAGUAUGUGUGUGGGAGAGGCCUGCAGAUAAAAAUACUGUGCCGGCUAUAGGAAAAGACACACAUGCCUCAAUCUGUUGGUGGGUUGCUAUUCUCGUUCAUGGUAAUCGAAGUGGAGGCUGCACUGAACAAGUACAGCAGUAGGAUCUUUCCCUGUUGAUUCACUUGCUGUCUUCUACUCUCCCUCUGGUGCGGCUUCUUGACUCCUCUCCCACUAGAAGCAAUGGCCAACUCCAGCUCCAAGUCUUCCUAUCCCCUCCAGACACUCAGCAUCCCCAGCACCCACAGGGUAGGGUCACUGCAGAGCCCCCACUUUCCUUAUGCCAUUAUCUUCCCUUUCCAGCUUUGCUUAUGAAAUUUAAACCACUUAGCAUAUGGACUAAAUUUAGGGAGGCAUAAAGUAUUUGCGUAAAAUACGCUUGAUUUUCCAAGUGUGAAAAAUAAGCACGAAAUAACAAGUCUAAUGUUGGACUCGAGAGGAGGUCAAGUAUUUUAAAAUUAAAAUCCUUUAAAA